rnacentral:rRNA from 1 species
GAUGAACGCUGGCGGCGUGCCUAAUACAUGCAAGUCGCGCGAACAGACGAGGAGUUUUCUCCUCUGACGUUAGCGGCGGACGGGUGAGUAACACGUGGAUAACCUACCUAUAAUACUGGGAUAACUUCGGGAAACCGGAGCUAAUACCGGACAAUAUAUUUCACCUCACGGUUCAAUAGUGAAAGACGGUUUUGCUGUCACUUAUAGAUGGAUCCGCGCCGCGUUAGCUAGUUGGUAAGGUAACGGCUUACCAAGGCAACGAUGCGUAGGCGACCGGAGAGGGGAGUAGGCCCCACUAGAACUGAGACAAGGUACAGACUCCUACGGGAGGCGACGGAGGGGAGUGUUACGCAAUGGGCGAAAGGCUGGCGGAGAAACGCCGCGUGGGGUAUGAAGGUCUUCGGAUCGUAGAACUCUGCUAUUAGGGAAGAACAAAUAUGUAAGUAACUAUGCACGUCUUGACGGUACCUAAUCAGAAAGCCACGGCUAACUACGUG